UCAGUCGACUCCUACGGGGGAGGCAGCAGUGGGGAAUAUUGCACAAUGGGGGAAACCCUGAUGCAGCCAUGCCGCGUGUGUGAAGAAGGCCUUCGGGUUGUAAAGCACUUUCAGUAGGGAGGAAGGUAGUGUAGUUAACACCUGCAUUAUUUGACGUUACCUACAGAAGAAGCACCGGCUAACUCCGUGCCAGCAGCCGCGGUAAUACGGAGGGUGCGAGCGUUAAUCGGAAUUACUAGGCGUAAAGCGCAUGCAGGCGGCCUGUUAAGUCAGAUGUGAAAGCCCGGGGCUUAACCUCGGAAUUGCAUUUGAAACUGGCAGGCUAGAGUCUUGUAGAGGGGGGUAGGAAUUUCAGGUGUAGCGGUGAAAUGCGUAGAGAUCUGAAGGAAUACCAGUGGCGAAGGCGGCCCCCUGGACAAAGACUGACGCUCAGAUGCGAAAGCGUGGGGAGCAAACAGGAUUAGAUACCCUGGUAG
rnacentral:rRNA from 1 species